rnacentral:rRNA from 1 species
CCUACGGGCGGCAGCAGUGGGGAAUAUUGCGCAAUGGGCGAAAGCCUGACGCAGCGACGCCGCGUGAGGGAUGAAGGUCUUCGGAUCGUAAACCCCUGUCAGCAGGGAAGAACGGUCACUGUGCUAAUCAGCAGUGAAUUGACGGUACCUGCAAAGGAAGCAUCGGCUAACUCCGUGCCAGCAGCUGCGGUAAUACGGAGGGUGCGAGCGUUAAUUGGAAUUAAUGGGCGUAAAGCGCUCGUAGGCGGUAUGUCAAGUCAAGGGUGAAAUCCCCGGGCUCAACGUGGGAAGUGCCUUUGAAACUGGCAGACUUGAGUGUGUGAGAGGAUAGUGGAAUUCCAGGUGUAGGGGUGAAAUCCGUAGAUAUCUGGAAGAACAUCGGUGGCGAAGGCGACUAUCUGGCACAUGACUGACGCUGAGGAGCGAAAGCGUGGGGAGCAAACAGGAUUAGAUACCCCUGUAGUC